rnacentral:rRNA from 2 species
GGUUAAGCGACUAAGCGUACACGGUGGAUGCCCUGGCAGUCAGAGGCGAUGAAGGACGUGCUAAUCUGCGAUAAGCGUCGGUAAGGUGAUAUGAACCGUUAUAACCGGCGAUUUCCGAAUGGGGAAACCCAGUGUGUUUCGACACACUAUCAUUACGUGAAUACAUAGCGUAAUGAAGCGAACCGGGGGAACUGAAACAUCUAAGUACCCCGAGGAAAAGAAAUCAACCGAGAUUCCCCCAGUAGCGGCGAGCGAACGGGGAGCAGCCCAGAGUCUGAAUCAGCUUGUGUGUUAGUGGAACGGUCUGGAAAGUCCGACGGUACAGGGUGAUAGUCCCGUACACCAAAAUGCACAGGUUGUGAACUCGAAGAGUAGGGCGGGACACGUGGUAUCCUGUCUGAAUAUGGGGGGACCAUCCUCCAAGGCUAAAUACUCCUGACUGACCGAUAGUGAACCAGUACCGUGAGGGAAAGGCGAAAAGAACCCCGGCGAGGGGAGUGAAAAAGAACCUGAAACCGUGUACGUACAAGCAGUGGGAGCCU